rfam:Achromatium sp. WMS3 contig-199_885, whole genome shotgun sequence.
GCGCUCUUAGCUCAGUUUGGUAGAGCAGCUGACUUUUAAUCAGUUGGUCGAUGGUUCGAGUCCAUCAGGGCGCA